AGAAGUGCAAGUACAUGUGUGGUACAAACCAUCAGGAAAAAAGUCUCUUUAGGUAUUAUUGUGCAGAUAGUCUUGCUAAAAAGCCCAGGCUGGACAAAACUUGAGAUCCUUCUGUGGCAAUCUCCCAAAGGACAGCGAUUUCAGGCAUGCACCACCAGAUAUCCUUUUUCCAGCAUCCUUAUCCUACUACCUGGCCAGAAUCUGAAAAAAACUCCUCCCAUCUCUGCUUCCCAGCUACCGUGACAAGAACAAGUGUCUUUGAAGCAUGCUGCCUUCAUCAUUCUGCUUUUGCUGAGAUCUGGCCAACAACGGCAACAACAAAAGACUGAGACUUCUGAAAC